rnacentral:lncRNA from 10 species
AGAGGACGCUGAGGCGAGAGAGAGGGUAGUGAGUUGCUCAAGGGCCUGGUUCAGGAAGUAUCAGAGCCAGGAUCAGCCCCCAGCUCCACUAGACCCCCAGAGCUGCCCCUGACCUUGUCCCCUCUGUCCCGGCCCCCAGCGGAUCUGUACUCAGCCGAGCCUGGGGAGGAGGAGCCGGCGUGGGUGCAGACGGAGAGGCAGCAGUUCCGGGACUUCCGGGAUCUGAACAAGGAUGGGCACCUGGAUGGGAGUGAGGUGGGCCACUGGGUGCUGCCCCCUGCCCAGGACCAGCCCCUGGUGGAAGCCAACCACCUGCUGCACGAGAGCGACACGGACAAGUUCUUCCGUUGGUGACCUCCCCACU